AUGCACAUAUUGAAACUACCUGCUUGAGAGACAUACUUCUUUAUAUGCCCAUAUGAACCUGGCAAGCUAUGGAAUGUAAAGAAGUAUGUAUUUCAGGUGGGGAUCAUUCUCAGUGGAGCAA
rnacentral:precursor_RNA from 15 species